AGCAGCCGCGGGAACACCGGCAGCUCUAGUGGUAGCUGUUUUAUUGGGCCUAAAGCGUUCGUAGCCGGUUUAAUAAGUCUCUGGUGAAAUCCUAUAGCUUAACUGUGGGAAUUGCUGGAGAUACUAUAGACUUGAGAUCGGGAGAGGUCAGAGGUACUCCUGGGGUAGGGGGUGAAAUCCUGUAAUCCUAGGAGGACCACCUGUGGCGAAGGCGUCUGACUAGAACGAAUCUGACGGUGAGGAACGAAAGCUAGGGGCGCGAACCGGAUUAGAUACCCGGGUAGUCCUAGCCGUAAACUAUGCGGACUUGGUGUGAGGGUGGCUUUGAGCCGUCCUGGUGCCGAAGGGAAGCUGUUAAGUCCGCCGCCUGGGAAGUACGGUCGCAAGGCUGAAACUUAAAGGAAUUGGCGGGGGAGCACCACAACGCGUGGAGCCCUGCGGUUUAAUUGGAUUCAACGCCGGAGAUCUCACCGGCGGCGACAGCAGUAUGAUGACCAGGUUGAUGACUUUGUUUGACAAGCUGAGAAGUGGUGCAUGG
rnacentral:rRNA from 1 species